rnacentral:rRNA from 1 species
UACGGAGGGGGCUAGCGUUGUUCGGAAUUACUGGGCGUAAAGCGCACGUAGGCGGCUUUGUAAGUUAGAGGUGAAAGCCCGGGGCUCAACUCCGGAAUUGCCUUUAAGACUGCAUCGCUAGAAUUGUGGAGAGGUAAGUGGAAUUCCCAGUGUAGAGGUGAAAUUCGUAGAUAUUGGGAAGAACACCGGUGGCGAAGGCGGCGACCUGGUUCAUUACUGACGCUGAGGCGCGAAAGCGUGGGGAGCAAACAGG